AUUGAACGCUGGCGGCAUGCCUUACACAUGCAAGUCGAACGGUAACAGGUCUUCGGAUGCUGACGAGUGGCGAACGGGUGAGUAAUACAUCGGAACGUGCCCGAUCGUGGGGGAUAACGGAGCGAAAGCUUUGCUAAUACCGCAUACGAUCUACGGAUGAAAGCAGGGGACCGCAAGGCCUUGCGCGGACGGAGCGGCCGAUGGCAGAUUAGGUAGUUGGUGGGAUAAAAGCUUACCAAGCCGACGAUCUGUAGCUGGUCUGAGAGGACGACCAGCCACACUGGGACUGAGACACGGCCCAGACUCCUACGGGAGGCAGCAGUGGGGAAUUUUGGACAAUGGGCGCAAGCCUGAUCCAGCCAUGCCGCGUGCAGGAUGAAGGCCUUCGGGUUGUAAACUGCUUUGUACGGAACGAAAGACUCUUUCUAAUAAAGAGGGUCCAUGACGGUACCGUAAGAAUAAGACACCGGCUAACUACGUGCCAGCAGCCGAC
rnacentral:rRNA from 1 species